AGAGAAGCAAAACAAGUGAUGUGGAGCAAACUACAAAAAGCGGUCUCAGUUCGGACUGAAGGCUGAAAUUCGCCUUCACGAAGUCGGAAUUGCUAGUAAUGGCAGGUCAGCAUACUGCCGUGAAUACGUUCCCGGGCCUUGUACACACCGCCCGUCACACCAUGAGAGUUAGGAAUACCCGAAGCCUGUGAGCUAACUUUUAGAGGCAGCAGUCGAAGGUAGAACUAAUGAUUGGGGUGAAGUCGUAACAAGGUAAC
rnacentral:rRNA from 1 species